rnacentral:rRNA from 1 species
CAGUAGCCGCGGGAAUACAGAGGGUGCGAGCGUUAAUCGGAUUUACUGGGCGUAAAGCGUGCGUAGGCGGCUUCUUAAGUCGGAUGUGAAAUCCUUGAGCUUAACUUAGGAAUUGCAUUCGAUACUGGGAAGCUAGAGUAUGGGAGAGGAUGGUAGAAUUCCAGGUGUAGCGGUGAAAUGCGUAGAGAUCUGGAGGAAUACCGAUGGCGAAGGCAGCCAUCUGGCCUAAUACUGACGCUGAGGUACGAAAGCAUGGGGAGCAAACAGGAUUAGAUACCCCAGUAGUCCUGUCUCUUAUACA